rnacentral:rRNA from 1 species
UACGUAGGGGGCAAGCGUUGUCCGGAUUUACUGGGCGUAAAGCGCGUGUAGGCGGCUUUGCAAGUCGGAUGUGAAAGCCCACGGCUCAACCGUGGAAGUGCAUCCGAAACCCCCUGGCUAGAGUCCGGGAGAGGAGAGUGGAAUUCCAGGUGUAGCGGUGAAAUGCGUAGAUAUCUGGAGGAAUACCGGUGGCGAAGGCGGCAUCCUGGACCGAUAUUGACACUGAGGAGCGAAAGCCAGGGGAGCAAACGGG